rnacentral:rRNA from 1 species
GUCUACGGCCAUACCACCCUGAACGUGCCCGAUCUCGUCUGAUCUCAGAAGCAAAGCAGGGUCGGGCCUGCUUAGUACUUAGUACUUGGAUGGGAGAAAAUGAGUUCUUAGACU